UUAGUAAUUAGUACGAACACG
rnacentral:sRNA from 1 species